GUGAAAAAAUCAAUACAUAAAACCCUCUUAUAAAAAAUCUUUUAAAAAUAUCAGUUUUUUAUAGAGUGCAAAGGUUGCAGUAAGCCAAACUGCUUAAAACAAAGGGGGGCUUCAGUUAUCAUUAAGUAUGUCUUUGUUUAAGGCGUAAAAUAUGCAGCUUAAAGGAGGUAUACCGACGUUAAUAAAAAAAGAGAAAAUAAUAUGAAGGUAUUUAUUCACCAAACAUUGUGUUAUAAAAGCUGUCGACUGUAUCACCACAGAGCCAAUAUACGUGUGUCAAACCCUUACCUUGAGUGAUUUCACUAAGCAAAUUUAUACAGUAAGUAUAUAGGUUAUAGAACUUGUAGCCUUUCACCGCAGAUUCUGCCAUGUAUGGUACAGCACCAUCGUAUGAAUAAUAUGCUUUUCUUUACUCUUCCUAUGUCAGCUUUCCAGAACAUCAGUUUACUUUGGCAGUGCUCUCCCAUUUUCUCUUGAAAGGAUACUGUAGACUCGUGGGACAUACACACUCCUAGUCUGCAAUAUCGUCCGUCUUGGCACCACUGUGGUACAAAAUAGUAGACAAUCUGUAUGCCAGUGCAGACAUUCUUCGUUUGCUUCUGCGUGCAACAACAGCGUUUGAGAGAGCCAAUGCGUUGAUUUUGUUAUCAGGAUCAUUUGACUCGUCCCCUACACUUUCAACCCCAGAAGCACCCUUCACAGCAGCAAUUUAGUAAAGCCCGAACGCUCGAUUCCCUGUAAGAGUUUUUUGCUUGUUAAAAGAGCAGCUUCCUUAGUUUAAAUAUUCUUUAAACUCCUUGUUGAUGGCUUGCUUAACUGGCUCUUGGCUCUGUUGUAGUAGUUUGUUUUCUAUCUCUGGAUGCUUAAAAACAGUUUCACGACAGUUUGCCACCUCGUGCGGCAAACAUUCUGUUUUCAAGUUUUUUUAUUUGCCACAUAUUUACAAUAAGUACAUUAAAUAUAUAAUUAAUUAGACGAAUACAUGGCGAGAAGGACCAUAAAAACCACAAGGCUUAUACGAGACAGUCCUCCCCAUUUAUAAGAAAAAAAAUACAUAAUAUUAAGUCAUGGCUAAAUAUAUGAUAUAACUAUGAUUUUAUAUAAAAAACAACAACACAUACACACAUACAAAAAGUCAAAAAAGGGAAAAAUUCAAUAUACUAGUUGAGAACAGUUUUAAGGCUAGUCAAAAAAUAGGCUAAAGUAGUUGCAGACUGAGUAUCAGUGUCUAGGGAAUUAUAAAAUGCAGGCCCUUGAUAUCUAAGUGCAAAUUUGCGUAUGUUUACUCUGCAUUUAGGAAUGUGAAAUAGCUUAGCACGUCUUGUAUUGUAAUUAUGAAUUUGAGAAUUGAGAAAAAAUAUAUUUUCAAAGUAUCGAGGAAGUAUUUUAGUCUUAAAUUGAAACAUUAGCUUACCAAUAUGAAAUAAAUAAAUGCAGUGAAAUUUCAAAAUGUUUAGAUCUUUAAAUAUUGGCUCAGUAUGAGCAUCAUAUGGCUUAUUUGAAAUUAUGCGUACAGCUCUUUUCUGGAGCAAAAAAAGACGAUUGAGAUUUGAAGGGUAUGUUGAACCCCAAACACAGAUACAAUAUUGUAAGUACGGAUAUAAAUUUAUCAAAGAAAAUCCCAUAAGCAUAACAGAGAUCAUUUGUUAAUAUAUCCCAUAUUAACCCAAAUACACUGCUGUAACUCUGUUCUAAAUCUCUCCAUAUUGGAUGCCGAUUUUUCACGGUAAGUGAUCAAUGUAUUUUUAGCACUACAAUCAAGCUUGUCAGAAAGAAUAGAAAAAAACAGGAAGGUGAUCAGAAAUGUCAGAGAACAAUAGCCCACUAUCACAAUAGCUAUUCAAAUCGUUUAUAAAGAUGUUGUCAAGCAAAGUUUCGGUAUGAGAAGUAAUUCUUGUUGGUCGCGUAAUCAAGGGAAAAAACAUUUUAGAAUGCCUUAGAAAUUCUAGAAAUUCUGCCGUUGUUCUAUGACAAUGAUGUUUCAUCACAUCAAAAUUAUAAUCACUUAACAAUGCACAAAUUUUGUUAUUUCUAGAAAUAUUUUGAAGAAGUUGAUCUAAUUCGUCGCAAAAUUCGCGAGCGUUUAGAUCAGUGUAACAGUCAGCUACGAGAUCAUUAAAUUUGUCUUCAAUAUAAUACUCGCAGUUGAAGGACUCAUAGAAAUUAGCAUCGGGAUCAUUAUCAUUUAGGCUUAAUCGGUUGGUACUUUCAGAAAGUAAUGGGUUAAAUUUUAGGCAAGCCAAUCUGUCCGGAUCAAAUUUUAUUGAACCAUUUUGUUGCUCAUAGAGCGCUAGUUGAAAAUCAUCAUCUGUAAGAUGACAAAAAGGCAAAACCUCGCAAAGAGGAAUGAAACUACCAGUGCUGCUACUUAGCUCACUAUUCGCCGGCUGGAGAUUCAGCGUUCUUCCUUUCUUUUAUAACCAAGCGAUCCAAGACAAAAUAUGCCAACUUGCCCGCUUUCCUUGCUUCCUUCAUCUUGGGGAUUUGGCCUUCACGUUUCAUCAGAGUAGCCCUCGCCAGGUCUUCCCGCUAUGUACAGGCCUUCAGGCUUGACUUUCCUCGCCUCCCGUAUCACGGCCUCGCGUUGUUUCCAAUCACGGAGCUUGCAGACGAUGGUCCUUGGUUUGGUCUGCUCGCCGCAACGGGCUUUCUUUCUGCUCUCAACCCUGUGAGCUCGUUCUAUUUCCACGUUUUCAAAACCCAAUUUGGUUUUGAUGGCCUCUUUUACCUUUACCUCUGCGUCAUACAGCUCUCCGUCAUACCUAUUCUGGUUUGGAUGCAGUAUCAGAACUUAUUUUUGUGUAGUAGGUUUCCCCAAAUAUGCUCGGGUCAGAAAAACACGUAUCUGAAACUUACUGAUUAUAAAACACCAGAGAGCCUUCUUAGUUCUAGAAGGUUUUUGAACUGUACGAAUCUCCUUACUGUCGCCUAGCUGUUUCUGUGGAGCUCUUCGAUCUGGUGUGAAGGUCGUGGGUAGUCCACCUCCGCUUCUUCUGCUUCGUUCCCCGUGCGAUUCAAGUCGGGCAAACCUUAAGGCGAAGCUCUGGUGUCAGAAAAUGGAAUAUAAUAUGAACUCAUUAAAUAUGAAUGAGAUUAAUAACUAGAAUAGUAAGUAAUAAGGAGUAGUAGGUUUAAAACUAGACAUUAACCGUUGAUACUAAUGAAGGGCAAUUAUAUAAACCUUGAGUAGAAAUGAGCAAAAACACUACUUUUUCGCCGCAGAUUUACAAUAUAAUAACAAGAACGAAUUUGCAUUUGUAACCCUCAUAAUUUAACAAUUAAAAGUGCAAUCUUGAAAAAUUAUUCCACCAGCACUAUUAACAGAGUUAGGCUGUGAUGUAAUCUGAGGCCUGUCAUCUGAAAUAACCUCAGCCUCCUCCUUAUUGUUUUUUUUUCUCCGGAGGCGGGCAAUCAUAUUCUUUUGAAAUGUUCAUUUAUUAAGGUAGAUACAAUGUACCCCUUGACAAAAUGAAAACUAUGUCACAGUAGACCUUUAUUAUUAAGGGACUGGCCGUCAGUACAAGGGGUCGGCUAAAAAAAGAGGUGGGUUUUUUGUGCAUUGUAAACGUCAAGAAAAUGUGUUGCAUAUGGGGUUGGUCAUGAAUAAUGACGCUUCUAUUUCUUUGCAGUGUAAUAUUUGAUGUUUAAAAAAUAUAAUUUAUAAUAAUGAAUGCAAUGUAUGAUAUUAGAAUUUUAAUAAAGAUAAAUUCAAACAAUGAAAAUUUGUUUUUUCCUUAUUUAAGAAAGAGAAUGAUAAUGUUAAAAA